rnacentral:rRNA from 1 species
UACGUAGGGUGCGAGCGUUGUCCGGAAUUAUUGGGCGUAAAGAGCUCGUAGGCGGUUUGUCACGUCUGCUGUGAAAUCCCGAGGCUCAACCUCGGGCCUGCAGUGGGUACGGGCAGACUGGAGUGAUGUAGGGGAGACUGGAAUUCCUGGUGUAGCGGUGAAAUGCGCAGAUAUCAGGAGGAACACCGAUGGCGAAGGCAGGUCUCUGGGCAUUAACUGACGCUGAGGAGCGAAAGCAUGGGGAGCGAACAGG